rnacentral:rRNA from 1 species
AGCAGCCGCGGUAAUUCCAGCUCCAAUAGCGUAUAUUAAAGUUGUUGCAGUUAAAAAGCUCGUAGUUGAACUUCAGGCCUGGCUGGACGGUCCGCCUUCCGGGCGAGUACUGUCUGUGGUCGGGUCCUACCUUCUGGCGAAGCGUCAUGGCCUUAACCGGCCGUGGCGGGGAACCAGGACUUUUACUGUGAAAAAUUAGAGUGUUCAAAGCAGGCAAUUCGCUUGGAUACAUUAGCAUGGAAUAAUGGAAUAGGACAAUGGUUCUAUUUGUUGGUUUCUAGGACUGUUGUAAUGAUUAAUAGGGAUAGUUGGGGGCAUUAGUAUUCAAUUGUCAGAGGUGAAAUUCUUGGAUUUAUUGAAGACUAACUACUGCGAAAGCAUUUGCCAAGGAUGUUUUCAUUAAUCAAGAACGAAAGUUAGGGGAUCGAAGACGAUCAGAUACCGUCGUAGUCUUAACCAUAAACUAUGCCGACUAGGAAUCGGGCAUGUUAACAAAAUGACG